CUGAUUGUCCCUGCCAGUAGAAAGGAAGCUCCGUAAGGUCAGGGACCCCCGUCUCGUUCCAUGUCUAGCCCAGUGCCUGGCCCAUGUGGACCUCAGCAACUGUGGUGGAUGCUGCGAUGAGAGGCCCCGGGAGACCCCUCCAGUGACAGGCUGGGUGUCCCAGUUGUUCAGGGUGUGGUAAGCGGCCUUCAGCCAUCAGCUGCAACUCGCCAGGGUCACACCCUUCCCUGGGACAGCCCACAUUGCAAAGUCCUGGACAUCCUGGUCCAACCGAGGACAGCCCUGAGGACCACUUCUGUGGCAGAGCUCCCUGUGGGGGACCAGUAGCCGCUGUGCUUGAUGGCAUCACAGCCCCACUCCUGCCUCUUGUGUCUUCCCCUCCACAGGUCCAACAUCACUCCGUGAAAGUCUGCUCCCCACCUAGGAGCCCCCUCGAGCCACAGCAGCCUUGCCAGCUGGAGAAGGACCCGAGACGUGCAGAUGGGAGUUGUGGCAGUAGUGGCCAUCUUGAGGGACAGACACCGGGAGAAAACGAGUGAUGCGUGCAAGGAGGGGCAUCGCUGAGCCCACACAAGACUCAAGAUGGAUGAGACAGAGGCGGCCUCAGGUGCCUGCAGGUGGAGAGAGAAGCACUGGGAAGCCUGAAGGAGCAUGAGAAAGACUGUUGCUGUAAGACACGGCGCUAUCUAUGGCCUGAAUAUUUGUUAUCUGUUGAAAUCCUAACCCCGAAGGUGAUGGUAUGAGGAGGUGAGGACUUUGGGAUGGGAUGACUGCUCUCAUAAAGGAGGCUAGAGAAAGGCUCCUGGCCCUUUCCAGCAGGCGAGGACACAGAUGCCAUCUUGAACCAGGAAGUGGCCACACCAGACACGGAAUCUGCCAGCACCUGGUUCCUGCACUUCCCAACCUCCAGAUCUGUGAGAAAUAAAUUUCUGUUGUUUACAGCCA